rnacentral:lncRNA from 1 species
GAAGUGAGCUGCCAUGUACUAGGCCACGUGGCAAGGGCCUGGUUGGGGACCUCCAGGGGUUGAGAGCAUCCUCUGGACAACAUGGAAAAAGAAAAUGAAAAUGGUGACCUCAGCCCUAUAGCUAGAAGGAAUUGAAUCCUGUCAACAACGAUUGGGUUCUCGGUCUCGCUGACUUCAAGAAUGAAGCCGCAGACCCUCACGACUCAUCACUCACUGCAGAUGUUACUUUAAGACAUUCUGGAGCAGCGUCAUGUGCAGGAGAAAAUAGUAUCAUCUCAGCCUUCUAUGAAAUCAAGGCAAUAUUCAUGUGAAAGUAUAUUCCAAACCCAGAACCUGAGCACAGAUUGGGACUGAGAAACACUUGUCUAGAUUGUCAGGCAAUCUGUAACAUCAGCAGUGGAUGGAAAGAAGGAGAAAGAUGAGUUUUAUGGACGCUAACCCAUCUAUAUGGCUUUGGAAAAUAAAGUACUGCUGUUUUUUUUUGUAA